CAAUAGCGUAUAUUUAAGUUGUUGCAGUUAAAAAGCUCGUAGUUGGAUUUCGGUUAAGAGCGACCGGUCCGCCGUUUGGUGUGCACUGGUUGGUUUUAACUUCCUGUAGAGGACGUGCCCUGGGUUUAACGACCUGGACUCGGAGUCUACGUGGUUACUUUGAAAAAAUUAGAGUGUUCAAAGCGGGCUUACGCUUGAAUAUUUCAGCAUGGAAUAACACUAUAGGACUCCUGUCCUAUUUCGUUGGUCUCGGGACGGGAGUAAUGAUUAAGAGGAACAGUUGGGGGCAUUCGUAUUUCAUUGUCAGAGGUGAAAUUCUUGGAUUUAUGAAAGACGAACUUCUGCGAAAGCAUUUGCCAAGGAUGUUUUCAUUAA
rnacentral:rRNA from 1 species